rnacentral:rRNA from 1 species
UUUCGGGAAUGGAAGCGAAAUGAAAGUGGCGAACGGGUGAGUAACACGUGAGCAACCUACCUUACACAGAGGGAUAGCCGUUGGAAACGACGAUUAAUACCGCAUGAGACCACAGAAUCGCAUGAUAUAGGGGUCAAAGAUUUAUCGGUGUAAGAAGGGCUCGCGUCUGAUUAGCUAGUUGGAAGGGUAAAGGCCUACCAAGGCGACGAUCAGUAGCCGGUCUGAGAGGAUGAACGGCCACAUUGGAACUGAGACACGGUCCAAACUCCUACGGGAGGCAGCAGUGGGGAAUAUUGCACAAUGGGGGGAACCCUGAUGCAGCGACGCCGCGUGAGCGAAGAAGGUUUUCGAAUCGUAAAGCUCUGUCCUAUGAGAAGAUAAUGACGGUAUCAUAGGAGGAAGCCCCGGCUAAAUACGUGCCAGCAGCCGCGGUAAUACGUAUGGGGCGAGCGUUGUCCGGAAUUAUUGGGCGUAAAGGGUACGUAGGCGGUUUUUUAAGUCAGGUGUGAAAGCGUGAGGCUUAACCUCAUUAAGCACUUGAAACUGGAAGACUUGAGUGAAGGAGAGGAAAGUGGAAUUCCUAGUGUAGCGGUGAAAUGCGUAGAUAUUAGGAGGAAUACCGGUGGCGA